AUGAUGGCAGAAUUUGAUCCUGUAAUGCAAGAGCAUCUUCGGCGCAUUAAGAAUAGUGAAAUCCAUCAUCAUUAUCUUGGCCAUAAUAUUCAGAAUGAGUUAAUUUCCCUUCUUGGUCGCACUGUUAAAUAUUCUCUAUUGAGGAUAAUUAAGGAUGCAAGGUAUUUCUCUGUCAUCUUGGACUGUACACCUGACGUGAGCCAUCAAGAACAAAUGACUCUAAUUGUGAGAUGCGUAAACAUGUCAAGUACUACUACAAAAAUAGAGGAGUUUUUUCUGGAGUUCUUGAAGGUGGAUGAUACAUCCGGACUUGGACUUUAUAAUGUGUUAAUAGAUUCACUUAAAUCUGUUGGUUCGGAUGUUAAAGAUGUUCGUGGACAAGGGUAUGACAAUGGUUCGAACAUGAAGGGAAAACACUAA
rnacentral:rRNA from 1 species